rnacentral:ribozyme from 1 species
UGUUUCCACAACGUUUCCUCCUCCUCCUUCCGAAGCCGCUCAGCCCUCUUUUUACAAGAAUAUUGACGAGAUGGAUCCAGAGCAGAGAGCGCAAUUCGAUCUCAUGCAAGAAAAUAUCGCGUGGGAACGAGAGGAGGAGGGAAAGAUGGAACAGAGAGAAUGUGGGGAUCUCAUUUCCCUGUUUCGUUCCUGUGGCAAGUCCCUUCCCGACUUUCGCAACAACAAGGAAAUUCACCUGUUCGGAAAGUCUAUUUUG